GUGCUCGCUUCGGCAGCACAUAUACUAAAAUUGGAACGAUACAGAGAUUAGCAUGGCCCCUGUGCAAGGCUGACACGCAAAUUUGUGAAGCGUUCCACAUUUCU
rnacentral:snRNA from 1 species